UACGUAGGGGGCAAGCGGUUGUCCGGAAUCAUUGGGCGUAAAGAGCGUGUAGGCGGCCUGAUAAGUCGGCUGUGAAAGUCAAGGGCUCAACCCUUGAAUGCCGGCCGAUACUGUCAGGCUAGAGUCCGGAAGAGGCGAGUGGAAUCCUGGUGUAGCGGUGAAAUGCGCAGAUAUCGGGAGGAACACCUAUGGCGAAGGCAGCUCGCUGGGACGUUACUGACGCUGAGACGGCGAAAGCGUGGGGAGCAAACACGG
rnacentral:rRNA from 1 species